GCCAAAACAAAAACCUAAAAACAUUUGCACAAAUUGAUGCAUGUUGUGCAACUCGCCCUAUUCUGGACUAUACCAAGUUGCACAUGCAGGCAAAUCAAGUGCAACUCGUACGUGAGAAAAGCUAAGAAUGGUCAACACAUCAAACAUAGGCCCUAAAAACACCUUUCUUGAACUGCACAAACAAAUCCAUUCCUUCCAUAAUCCAAUUCCUCGGUAUACUUUUCCCUUUGUGUUUUACUUGAUCUGGAAAAAUUGAUUUAGGGACAAUCUAUGACCCAUAGAUGGCAAACAUUUGUUCUGAGAAAAUGAAACACCUGUUAUGAAAAAAAAAGCAAACACCUUCCAUUUUUUCCAAUCAAUCUAAUUAGGGGCAAUCAAUUAAUUAAUUUUCCACAAAGAAAAACUAUCAAAAGACAUUGUGCGGACUACUUCCAAAUGAGAAAACAACGGUGGGCUACCUCAAUCAACAACAUGCGCCCAAGACCAGCCCCGCCUUCCCAUUAAAAAAACUGCUUGUUGGUCUAUGGUUUUCGGUCUGGUUUUCCUCAUAAAUUGGGGGUGUCUAGGAUAAGUUGUCUCAGACAUAAGAAAAACACUUAAAUCUUAGUCAUGUGCUCAUACACACAAAACUCAAAUUGCACAUCAUGAGUCUUAAUGUGCAAGUCAUCUCCUAAAACAACUAAAUUGCACAACAUGAGAGAUCAUGCGCAACUAAAAAAAAUCUAUUGCACAUCACGAGUCUUAAUGUGCAAGUCAUCUCCUAAAACAACUAAAUUGCAUAGCAUGAGAGAUCAUGCGCAACUAAAAAAAUUCUAUUGCACAUCACGAGUCUUAAUAUGCAACUCAUCUCUUAAAACAAAUAAAUUAUACAUCACGAGAGAUCAUCUGCAAGUAAAUUAAAAAACUCAGUUGCACAUCACGAGUCUUAAUGUGCAACUCAUCCGUGAAACAACUAAAUCGCACAACAUGAGAGAUCAUGUGCAACUAAACUAAAAAACUCAGUUGCAUAUCACGAGUCUUUAUGUGCAACUCAUACCCUAAAACAAUUAUAUUGCACAGCAUGAGAGAUCAUGCGCAACUAAAAAAAUCUAUUGCACAUCACGAGUCUUAAUGUGUAACUCAUCUCGUAAAACAACUAAAUUAUACAUCAUGAGAGAUCAUGCGCAACUAAAUUAAAAAAACUCAGUUGCACAUCACAAGUCUUAAUGUGCAACUCAUCCCCUAAAACAACUAAAUUGCACAUUAGGAGAGAUGAUGUGCAACUUACAAAAAUAAACCGGUUGCACAUCAAGUGCCUUAAUGUGCAACUCAUCCUAAAAAACUAAUUGGUUACACAACAAGAGAGGUGAUGUGCACUAUACCUAUUUCUCGUAAAACAUAUAUUUAGCAAAAUCCAUAGAAAUAUUAUCCACAUGACAGACAACAAGAAAACAAAAAAGAGAGAACUAGAAAAAUAAGCUAUUUCUUCUUUAAUAUUUUUUUAAACAAGUGUAGUGAAGCUGGACAUAUUUAUAACUAUUGUUGCACACAAAACAAGGACGACUUGUCUAUAUUGGUUUUUGCAACUUAAGCAAGCUGCCAUCACAAAAGAAUACAAAGGGAAAAAGCUUUGCGUGAGAGAGGCACUAGGGUGGGACUACGGAACACUAAGUAAGUAAAUCUUCCAAUCAAAAAAGAAAAAGAAAAUUAAAAAGCCUAACACACACAGGACGGGUGCAAAUUGAUGAUAAAAACCCCACGAACCUAAAAAAAAAACAAAAAAGACCGCAGUGGACAAGCCACUGGGAGGGUAAAUUCACGAGGGACAUCGACAGAAAUAAUACCUAGGGUGUAUGAAUCUUAACACACAAACUGACGGUCCAUAACGUUGACUUGAAAAACAAUUAUAAUCUUAGGGGAUUAUACAUAAUAGUUGAAUGUGAAUGAUUAAUUAUAAACAUGUGUAAUUAAACAGCCACAUAACCGUCCUUCAGAAAAAUCUAAAAAGUCGCACCUAGAAGCAUUCAAGCCUAGAUAAAAAAAACAAGAAAAUAGAAUCACAACCAGCCCAACUACGAGAACGAACACACACACACGGCACACGCACAGGACAGCCCAGGACACACGACCCAUUCCCUUUUCCUGAUUUCAUCCAUCCAACACACUCUAGCUAGCUUUUUUUAUCUUUUGAGAAACCAAACACCGGUGAAACACAGUGGUCUAGCUGGUACACACACUGACAGGGAGAGAAUGAAGAAAGAAACUACCUGACAAAACGUGGUUAAUUAGUUAUCGCAGUUGCAUCAGCGGACCGUCUGGAAGCAGCAUGUGCUGCAUGCAAUCAUGCAUGCAUGCAUGGCAUCAAGGGAAAAAAAAGAGACACACACACAACGCGCACAAGACACAAGGACAGAGACAGCUACAGCUACAGCCCAUGUGGCUAUAGGCUAUGUUGGGCCUGCAUGCACGUGGACAGGAACUGCUGAGGAAAAUGUUGCACGGAUCUCAAAGCUCAUCCGACGGUCAAUAUGGAACUAGCCAAUUCGUUAAUUAAUACUGCUGCAUGCCCUGUCCUGAAAUUUGGGCUCGUGGGACCAAAUGCCCUGAAAAUAAAGAAUGCACCAACUCUUCUGAUUUCAAAUCUCUUGUACUCACGUUACUAGCUUCUUCAUUCAUGCACCUGACCUUAGUUCUAGAACAUGGGGAUACUGACGAGCUCGAUGACGAACCUGAGCCACACCCACCUUCUGAACCCAAAUUACUAACUCAGCCAGCCCCAACCCAUAUAUAUCUCUUUCACUCCUCCUGCUGCUGUAUAUCUGUCAUGUCUGGAUCGAAUGAUACUGCAAAUAAUUAAUUCGAGAGGUGGUCGAGUUACAAGAGUAAGAGUGGUUAAAUUUAUGUUGUCCGUCUUGUUAUAUACAGUGCGUGAGCAAGCAUGGGCUUGUUUUCAAGAAAAUGGUGACGGACGGGUUUUGAGAAUAGAGGACAUCGGGAGGAAAUUAUCUUAGUCUACCCAUUAGACCAGUAAGAAGGCAGUGUAGGGUUUGAUCACGCUCAGACUUGAUGUUUACUCAAAACUUCAUGAGAGUCCAGCCAUCACUUUACAGAUAUAGGCAUAUCUUCAUGGAAGAACUGAAUUUGAUC
rnacentral:lncRNA from 1 species